GGGUUGUGAGGUUAAGCGACUAAGCGUACACGGUGGAUGCCCUGGCAGUCAGAGGCGAUGAAGGACGUGCUAAUCUGCGAUAAGCGCCGGUAAGGUGAUAUGAACCGUUAUAACCGGCGAUUUCCGAAUGGGGAAACCCAGUGUGAUUCGUCACACUAUCAUUAACUGAAUCCAUAGGUUAAUGAGGCGAACCGGGGGAACUGAAACAUCUAAGUACCCCGAGGAAAAGAAAUCAACCGAGAUUCCCCCAGUAGCGGCGAGCGAACGGGGAGGAGCCCAGAGCCUGAAUCAGCAUGUGUGUUAGUGGAAGCGUCUGGAAAGGCGCGCGAUACAGGGUGACAGCCCCGUACACAAAAGCGCAUGUGCUGUGAGCUCGAUGAGUAGGGCGGGACACGUGGUAUCCUGUCUGAAUAUGGGGGGACCAUCCUCCAAGGCUAAAUACUCCUGACUGACCGAUAGUGAACCAGUACCGUGAGGGAAAGGCGAAAAGAACCCCGGCGAGGGGAGUGAAAAAGAACCUGAAACCGUGUACGUACAAGCAGUGGGAGCACAGGUUUACCUGUGUGACUGCGUACCUUUUGUAUAAUGGGUCAGCGACUUAUAUUCUGUAGCAAGGUUAACCGUAUAGGGGAGCCGGAGGGAAACCGAGUCUUAAUUGGGCGUUAAGUUGCAGGGUAUAGACCCGAAACCCGGUGAUCUAGCCAUGGGCAGGUUGAAGGUUGGGUAACACUAACUGGAGGACCGAACCGACUAAUGUUGAAAAAUUAGCGGAUGACCUGUGGCUGGGGGUGAAAGGCCAAUCAAACCGGGAGAUAGCUGGUUCUCCCCGAAAGCUAUUUAGGUAGCGCCUCGUGAAUUCAUCUCCGGGGGUAGAGCACUGUUUCGGCUAGGGGGCCAUCCCGGCUUACCAACCCGAUGCAAACUGCGAAUACCGGAGAAUGUUAUCACGGGAGACACACGGCGGGUGCUAACGUCCGUCGUGAAGAGGGAAACAACCCAGACCGCCAGCUAAGGUCCCAAAGUCAUGGUUAAGUGGGAAACGAUGUGGGAAGGCCCAGACAGCCAGGAUGUUGGCUUAGAAGCAGCCAUCAUUUAAAGAAAGCGUAAUAGCUCACUGGUCGAGUCGGCCUGCGCGGAAGAUGUAACGGGGCUAAACCAUGCACCGAAGCUGCGGCAGCGAACGUAUCACCCAAGACAACUUUACGGAGUUGACGAUUGACGGAGCGAAGCGACGUCAAAGCGUUCAUUAAAGUCGAGUUGGCUUAGGGAUACGUUCGUUGGGUAGGGGAGCGUUCUGUAAGCCUGUGAAGGUGUGUCGUGAGGCAUGCUGGAGGUAUCAGAAGUGCGAAUGCUGACAUAAGUAACGAUAAAGCGGGUGAAAAGCCCGCUCGCCGGAAGACCAAGGGUUCCUGUCCAACGUUAAUCGGGGCAGGGUGAGUCGACCCCUAAGGCGAGGCCGAAAGGCGUAGUCGAUGGGAAACGGGUUAAUAUUCCCGUACUUGGUGUUACUGCGAAGGGGGGACGGAGAAGGCUAUGUUGGCCGGGCGACGGUUGUCCCGGUUUAAGCGUGUAGGUGUGUGUUCCAGGUAAAUCCGGUUCACUUUAACACUGAGGCGUGACGACGAGGCACUACGGUGCUGAAGCAACAAAUGCCCUGCUUCCAGGAAAAGCCUCUAAGCAUCAGGUAACACGAAAUCGUACCCCAAACCGACACAGGUGGUCAGGUAGAGAAUACCAAGGCGCUUGAGAGAACUCGGGUGAAGGAACUAGGCAAAAUGGUGCCGUAACUUCGGGAGAAGGCACGCUGACACGUAGGUGAAGUGAUUUACUCAUGGAGCUGAAGUCAGUCGAAGAUACCAGCUGGCUGCAACUGUUUAUUAAAAACACAGCACUGUGCAAACACGAAAGUGGACGUAUACGGUGUGACGCCUGCCCGGUGCCGGAAGGUUAAUUGAUGGGGUCAGCGCAAGCGAAGCUCCUGAUCGAAGCCCCGGUAAACGGCGGCCGUAACUAUAACGGUCCUAAGGUAGCGAAAUUCCUUGUCGGGUAAGUUCCGACCUGCACGAAUGGCGUAAUGAUGGCCAGGCUGUCUCCACCCGAGACUCAGUGAAAUUGAACUCGCUGUGAAGAUGCAGUGUACCCGCGGCAAGACGGAAAGACCCCGUGAACCUUUACUAUAGCUUGACACUGAACAUUGAGCCUUGAUGUGUAGGAUAGGUGGGAGGCUUUGAAGUGUGGACGCCAGUCUGCAUGGAGCCGACCUUGAAAUACCACCCUUUAAUGUUUGAUGUUCUAACGUGGACCCGUAAUCCGGGUUGCGGACAGUGUCUGGUGGGUAGUUUGACUGGGGCGGUCUCCUCCUAAAGAGUAACGGAGGAGCACGAAGGUUGGCUAAUCCUGGUCGGACAUCAGGAGGUUAGUGCAAUGGCAUAAGCCAGCUUGACUGCGAGCGUGACGGCGCGAGCAGGUGCGAAAGCAGGUCAUAGUGAUCCGGUGGUUCUGAAUGGAAGGGCCAUCGCUCAACGGAUAAAAGGUACUCCGGGGAUAACAGGCUGAUACCGCCCAAGAGUUCAUAUCGACGGCGGUGUUUGGCACCUCGAUGUCGGCUCAUCACAUCCUGGGGCUGAAGUAGGUCCCAAGGGUAUGGCUGUUCGCCAUUUAAAGUGGUACGCGAGCUGGGUUUAGAACGUCGUGAGACAGUUCGGUCCCUAUCUGCCGUGGGCGCUGGAGAACUGAGGGGGGCUGCUCCUAGUACGAGAGGACCGGAGUGGACGCAUCACUGGUGUUCGGGUUGUCAUGCCAAUGGCACUGCCCGGUAGCUAAAUGCGGAAGAGAUAAGUGCUGAAAGCAUCUAAGCACGAAACUUGCCCCGAGAUGAGUUCUCCCUGAGACUUAGAGUCUCCUGAAGGAACGUUGAAGACGACGACGUUGAUAGGCCGGGUGUGUAAGCGCAGCGAUGCGUUGAGCUAACCGGUACUAAUGAACCGUGAGGCUUAACCUUACAACGCCGAAG
rnacentral:rRNA from 5 species